rnacentral:rRNA from 1 species
UACAGAGGUGGCAAGCGUUGUUCGGAAUUACUGGGCGUAAAGGGCGCGUAGGCGGUCCGAUAAGUCCCGUGUGAAAGCCCCCGGCUCAACUGGGGAACUGCACGGGAAACUGACGGACUUGAGUUCGGGAGAGGGAAGCGGAAUUCCGGGUGUAGCGGUGAAAUGCGUAGAUAUCCGGAGGAACCCCAGAGGCGAAGGCGGCAGCCUGGUUGGCUCCUGACGCUCGGACACGACAGCAUGGGGAGCGAACGGG